AAGGAAUCAAUCUGCACAAUCCUUUAUUUUGAAAAAAAAUCUUACAACUUUUAAAUGAACUUAUACAUAUAUUAAAGCUUUUCUUAAAAAUACAUGCUAAAAAUGAAUGAAAUGUGUUUAAUCUAGCAGCUGGAAAAGUGAUAUCACAGGUAUAAUUAUAAAGAAAAAUAACUGUGUCAUAAAUCUUUAAAAGGAAACGUGACUGAACCAGGUGGGAUUCCAGGAUUUGAAAAGUGACUAAGGUUAUAGGGGAUUUUGAGACCAAGCUGGGUUCAGGAUGAACUUUUCGAAUAGAGCUGGGUUUGGUACAGAAUUUGGGACUGGUCCCAAGGUUCAGGGAAUGAGCAAAAUUUGCGAUUGAGAUUUAGGUUUUAGGGCAGUUUUAAGUGGGUUUAGGAUUGGGAUUUGUAAGUUAGUACAGUGUGGGAGCAAGAUUUGGGGAUUCGGCCAGGCAUGGGAUCAGGAUUAGGCUGGGCGCAGGAUGGGGAUUUGGGAUUAAGCAAAAUGUGGGAUUGAGAUUUGGGUAUUAGGGUGGCCAUGGGAUCGAGAUUUGGGUACUAGGCAAGGUGUCGGAUCAAGAUUCAGGAAUUAGGUUGGGUUUGGGAAUUAAAUUUGCGAUUGGGCUGGUGUGAGAUUGAAAUUUGGGAACUAGGUUGAGUUUGGGAUUAAAAUUUGGGGAACAGGCUGGGUUUGUGAUUACAUUUUCGGGGAUCAGGUUGGGUUUGGGAUUGAGAUUUAGGGAUUAGGUUGAGUUUGAGAUUUGGGGAUUAGGUGGAGUUUGGGAUUGAGAUUUGGGGAUUAAGACAAGUUUCUG